rnacentral:rRNA from 1 species
GCUAAUACCGCAUAUGCCCUGAGGGGGAAAGGGGGGGAUCGCAAGACCUCUCGCUUUCGGAGUGGCCGAUACCGGAUUAGCUAGAUGGUGAGGUAAAGGCUCACCAUGGCGACGAUCCGUAGCUGGUCUGAGAGGGACGACCAGCCCACACUGGAAACUGAGACACGGUCCAGACUCCCUACGGGAGGCAGCAGUGGGGAAUUUUGGGACAAUGGGGCGAAAAGCCUGAUCCAGCCAUACCGCGUGAGUGAAGAAAGGCCUUUCGGGUUGUAAAAGCUCUUUCAGCCGGAAAAGAAAUCGCACUUUUUAAUACGGAGUGUGGAUGACGGGUACCCGGAAGAAAGAAGCACCGGCUAACUACGUGCCAGCAGCCCGCGGGUAAUACGUAGGGGUGCGAGCCGUUAAUUCGGAAUUACUGGGGCGUAAAAGCGUGCGCAGGCGGGUUUGAAUAACC